rnacentral:lncRNA from 1 species
GAUGUCCACAAGUAUUCUGAUUUGUGUCAGACGACUGAGUAUACAGAUUUGUAUAUAGCAUCACAAUUGCUGGGCUCUACAUAAGCUUGUUACCCACCAUAGCUGGAUUGUUAUGGAGCUACUUCUAUCCAUUAGGAGCCCUCAAGAUCAGGUAUAGUAGAAAUGAGUAACUGAAUCAAAACAUUUUAUACUG